rnacentral:rRNA from 1 species
AUUGAACGCUGGCGGCAUGCCUUACACAUGCAAGUCGAACGGUAACGGGCCUUCGGGUGCCGACGAGUGGCGAACGGGUGAGUAAUGCAUCGGAACGUACCUUUCAGUGGGGGAUAACGUAGCGAAAGUUACGCUAAUACCGCAUAUUCUGUGAGCAGGAAAGCAGGGGAUCGCAAGACCUUGCGCUGGAUUGAGCGGCCGAUGUCAGAUUAGCUAGUUGGUGAGGUAAAGGCUCACCAAGGCGACGAUCUGUAGCGGGUCUGAGAGGAUGAUCCGCCACACUGGAACUGAGACACGGUCAGACUCCUACGGGAGGCAGCAGUGGGAAUUUGGACAAUGGGGCAACCUGAUCCAGCCAUGCCGUUACGGUAACGUUACGGUAACGGUAACGGUCCGUUACGGGUUACGUAAACGGUACGUACGUUUCCGGUACCGGUAACGGUAACGUACGUACGUACGUACGGUUAACGUACCGUACGUACGUACGGUACGUACGUACGGUACCGGUACGUACGUAACGUAACGGUACGUACCGGUACGUAACCGUACGGUACGUACCGUACGUACCGUACGUACCC